rnacentral:lncRNA from 1 species
AUGCCUGGGACAAGGAAGUGGAAGAUUACAUGACCUAAGAUACCUACCUUGAAAAGAAUUUUAGUUAUAAAUUGGGAGUGUGGAGUGAUAAGGAGCAGAGCAUUUUAGGAACAGCUGGUUAGGGAUUCUCUUAUUAAAAUGGGUAUCUUGGAAGAAUUAUCAUUAUGAUUAGGUCAGUGGUACCAUCUUAGAAUUUCUCUAGAUCUUUUUUAAGGCCUUCAGGAGGAAAUUAUAGUGAGAGACUAGGGUUAAAGGACUAAGGGAAUGAACCAGGUAUUGGUCCUGGUAUUUUCUUUUAAAUGACUGACAGAAUUAGUCUCUCUCUACUCAAUACCCCAUUCAGAGGCCUUCUCCAAAGUCCUGUCUGUGUGGCUCUGGCCCUGGGGUGUUGAUAUGUGAAGAGACUCAGAACAUAUGGCAUAAACAUCAACUGAUAUUGUUGGCCAUUUACACUGGGCAUGUGUCAUGCAGCAAGAAUGGCUCUUGAAGACCAUGUGACUUUUCUUCCAGUCUUGGGUAUGUAGUGGAACUGGGUCGGUCUUUCUCUCUGUCUCUCUGUCUCUCUCUCUUUCCUCCUCCUCCUUUCCACUCCCAAACUUGUGACUUUGUAAGAGGAAGCUUGUAAAUAAUCGGCAUGCAGAAAGCUGGUAGAAUAUCAUUGGAAUUUCCUAGGGAGGCACAUUCGCAACACCCAAAAUGACCUGCGGCUCCCGUCCCUACAGGUCAGAGCUCAGUGCCUGGCACCCUGAUAUUUUUCAGAAAGAAGCUGAAAUGAAACAUUCUCAUUAUGGGCAGACAGAAUCCCAGAAUCUCAGAAGGAACCCUAGAGGCCAGCUAGUCUACAGUGAACAAGAACCUCUCCUUCCCCUCCCCCAGAAUACCCAGCAAGUUGUCAUCCAAGCUUUGUUUAAAGAAGAACUCCAGUGAAGGGAAAAUCUACAUUUAUUUUGUUUCUCUAAUAUUUUUAAAUUCAAUGUGAACAAAGACAUGUCUUAACUUGCAUGUGUUUGAGUUGUAAAGGGGGGGAAACAGAGAAAAGAUGCUUAAUUUGACUGAACCAAAUGAUUAGAAAGGUACUACCAAAGUUGGAUAAGAUUUGAAUGUUUGGAUUCCAGGAAGCCCAAUUCUACAGAGCAUGUUGAAUUUCUUAAAAUAUUUCAGUCACU